rnacentral:tRNA from 1 species
GCCUGGGUGGCUCCGUCGGUUGAGCAUCUGACUUCGGCUCGGGUCACGAUCCCACAGUUUGUGGGUUCGAGCCCCGCAUCGGGCU